AAGCAACUUCCCAACUGGACUUUUAUACAUCAAUUCGUGUUGGAAGUGGAAGAUCUGCAGAAGAAGAAUAAUGGCGCUGAUGAGAGGAGAACCCCUGCUGAGGAAGCUCGCCGCGCUCGCUCAGUACGUCGUUCUUCCGGGAGCCAUGGCCGCCGCUCUCAUUUACUCUCCUCCCGAUUACAUCUACUCCAAGAAAGACGAUAAGUCUUCCAAAUAGGACUCUUUCCCCUUCUUUCACCGAACGGACCACCUGAUCAUGUAGGCUUGCAUCUGCAGUGUCGUAUUUCUCUUAUGUUGAUAAUGGUGUGUACUGGACUUGUUGUCAUGUCUCAAUAACUAGUCAUUUGUCUUACUUUUGUGGCUUCGCCUUGGGAGAAAUAAUAAUCAUUUGUUUCCUUGAA